UACGGGGGGGGUAAGCGUUGUUCGGAAUUACUGGGCGUAAAGGGCUCGUAGGCGGCCAACUAAGUCAGACGUGAAACCCCUCAGCUUAACUGGGGAACUGCGUCUGAUACUGGAUGGCUUGGAUUCGGGAGAGGAAUGCAGAAUUCCAGGUGUAGCGGUGAAAUGCGUAGAUAUCUGGAGGAAUACCGGUGGCGAAGGCGGCAUCCUGGACCGGCAUUGACGCUGAGGAGCGAAAGCCAGGGGAGCAAACGGG
rnacentral:rRNA from 1 species